UUGAGCUGUGGUGGGCUCCGCCCAGUUGGAGCUUCCUGGCUGCUUUGUUUACCUAAUCAAGCCUGGGCAAUGGCGGGCGCCCCUCCCCCCGCCUCGCUGCCGCCUUGCAGUUUGAUCUCAGACUGCUGUGCUAGCAAUCAGCGAGACUCCGUGGGCGUAGGACCCUCCGAGCCAGAGAUGGGAUCUUACUACAUUGCCCAGGCUGAAGUGCAGUGGCUAUUAACAGCUGUAAUCAUAAUGCAUUGCAGCUUUGAAUUCCUGGGCUUGAGCGACCUCCCCACCUUAGCCUCCUGAGUAGCUGAGACUACAGAUGUGCCUUGCUUCUCCUUCAUUUUCUGCCAUGACUGUAAGUUCCCUGAGGCCUUCCCAUCCAUGUGGAACUGCACUGUCCUAGGUACUGUGGGGACCAAAACAUUCAGACCUGCUUCUAAGGAGUGCAGUCCAUGGAAGAGUCAGAAUAACAAAUCAACAUUUGUACUACACCAGACCAGCUCUCUUCUAAGGUUGCUAUGACUUCCCAGCAGCUAAAUUUUCUUUUACAAGAAGGAAAUAAACUUAAGGAGAAAGAAGAAACAAAGAUGGGGCGGAAAUGUAAGAGAGGCAUUCUAAUAUAUGCAUUCUUCAUAACAACUGUGUGAAACAUAUUAAUAUCCUCAUUGUUAACGAUGAAGAAACUAAAUCUCAGGAAGAAAAACUAAGUGAAGACAAAAGAAGGAUUUGAACUGAGGUUUGUCAGACUCUCGGGACCAUGCUGUUGAAACCACUAAACCACGCUGCCUCUGGGUCACUUGAUUAUUCUGGGAGAUUCUGGGAGUCUUUUCUCCAACACUCCAGUGGCAUCUGACUAUGUGAGCUGAUAAGAUCUAUAGAUCUUUGCUGAACCUGAUUCUGGAAGGUACAACAAUUUCGGCCAUCUUCCUAAUCAAUACUGUGAGAUGGGACCAAAUUGAUUGUGUGGUACAUGAAGCACAGCCCAGGAAAAGCUGAUGAGACCUAGACACCAUUAUAUAUUUUGCCUGACUUAUUAACUUACUCUGUGUCAAAAUUGAGUCCGUUUUUGAUAAAAAUACAGUACUGAGGAACUGUUUCUUUCCUCCUUCUCCAUGUCCUUGUCUCUUCUUGGUUAACAAACCUGACUAGCAAUUGUUUUUCUUUUUUCUUUUUUUGCAGUGUUUGUGAAGAUUUUCUAACCUGGUAUCACACGG
rnacentral:lncRNA from 10 species